rnacentral:rRNA from 2 species
ACCUGACUGCUAUCGGAUUGAUACUAAGCCAUGCGAGUCAUUGUAGCAAUACAAGGCAGACGGCUCAGUAACACGUAGUCAAUCUAACCUAUGGACGGGGAUAACCUCGGGAAACUGAGAAUAAUAUCCGAUAGGCCACUAUGCCUGGAAUGGUUUGUGGCCCAAAUGAUUUAUCGCCGUAGGAUGGGACUGCGGUCUAUCAGCUUGUUGGUGAGGUAAUGGCCCACCAAGGCUAUAACAGAUACGGGCUCUGAGAGGAGAGGCCCGGAGAUGGGUACUGAGACACGGACCCAGGCCCUAUGGGGCGCAGCAGGCGAGAAAACUUUGCAAUGUGCGAAAGCACGACAAGGUUAAUCCGAGUGUUUUCUGCUAAAGAAAUCUUUUACCGGUCUUAAAACCACGGGCGAAUAAGGGGUGGGCAAGUUCUGGUGUCAGCCGCCGCGGUAAAACCAGCACCUCAAGUGGUCAGGAGGAUUAUUGGGCCUAAAGCAUCCGUAGCCUGCCGUGUAAGUUUUCGGUUAAAUCUAUGCGCUCAACGCAUAGGCUGCCGGAAAUACUGCACGGCUAGGGAGUGGGAGAGGUAGACGGUACUCGGUAGGAAGGGGUAAAAUCCUCUGAUCUAUCGAUGACCCCCUGUGGCGAAGGCGGUCUACUAGAACACGUCCGACGGUGAGGGAUGAAAGCUGGGGGAGCAAACCGGAUUAGAUACCCGGGUAGUCCCAGCUGUAAACAAUGCAAACUCAGUGAUGCAUUGGCGUAAGAGCCAGUGCAGUGCCGCAGGGAAGCCGUUAAGUUUGCCGCCUGGGAAGUACGUACGCAAGUAUGAAACUUAAAGGAAUUGGCGGGGGAGCACCACAAGGGGUGAAGCCUGCGGUUC